GGGUUGUGAGGUUAAGCGACUAAGCGUACACGGUGGAUGCCCUGGCAGUCAGAGGCGAUGAAGGACGUGCUAAUCUGCGAAAAGCGUCGGUAAGGUGAUAUGAACCGUUAUAACCGGCGAUGUCCGAAUGGGGAAACCCAGUGCAAUUCGUUGCACUAUCGUUAACUGAAUACAUAGGUUAACGAGGCGAACCGGGGGAACUGAAACAUCUAAGUACCCCGAGGAAAAGAAAUCAACCGAGAUUCCCCCAGUAGCGGCGAGCGAACGGGGAGCAGCCCAGAGUCUGAAUCAGCUUGUGUGUUAGUGGAACGGUCUGGAAAGUCCGACGGUACAGGGUGAUAGUCCCGUACACCAAAAUGCACAGGCUGUGAACUCGAAGAGUAGGGCGGGACACGUGGUAUCCUGUCUGAAUAUGGGGGGACCAUCCUCCAAGGCUAAAUACUCCUGACUGACCGAUAGUGAACCAGUACCGUGAGGGAAAGGCGAAAAGAACCCCGGCGAGGGGAGUGAAAAAGAACCUGAAACCGUGUACGUACAAGCAGUGGGAGCACCUUCGGGUGUGACUGCGUACCUUUUGUAUAAUGGGUCAGCGACUUAUAUUCUGUAGCAAGGUUAACCGUAUAGGGGAGCCGCAGGGAAACCGAGUCUUAACUGGGCGUUAAGUUGCAGGGUAUAGACCCGAAACCCGGUGAUCUAGCCAUGGGCAGGUUGAAGGUUGGGUAACACUAACUGGAGGACCGAACCGACUAAUGUUGAAAAAUUAGCGGAUGACUUGUGGCUGGGGGUGAAAGGCCAAUCAAACCGGGAGAUAGCUGGUUCUCCCCGAAAGCUAUUUAGGUAGCGCCUCGUGAAUUCAUCUUCGGGGUAGAGCACUGUUUCGGCUAGGGGGUCAUCCCGACUUACCAACCCGAUGCAAACUACGAAUACCGAAGAAUGUUAUCACGGGAGACACACGGCGGGUGCUAACGUCCGUCGUGAAGAGGGAAACAACCCAGACCGCCAGCUAAGGUCCCAAAGUCAUGGUUAAGUGGGAAACGAUGUGGGAAGGCACAGACAGCCAGGAUGUUGGCUUAGAAGCAGCCAUCAUUUAAAGAAAGCGUAAUAGCUCACUGGUCGAGUCGGCCUGCGCGGAAGAUGUAACGGGGCUAAACCAUGCACCGAAGCUGCGGCAGCGACACUAUGUGUUGUUGGGUAGGGGAGCGUUCUGUAAGCCUGCGAAGGUGACCUGUGAGGGUUGCUGGAGGUAUCAGAAGUGCGAAUGCUGACAUAAGUAACGAUAAAGCGGGUGAAAAGCCCGCUCGCCGGAAGACCAAGGGUUCCUGUCCAACGUUAAUCGGGGCAGGGUGAGUCGACCCCUAAGGCGAGGCCGAAAGGCGUAGUCGAUGGGAAACAGGUUAAUAUUCCUGUACUUGGUGUUACUGCGAAGGGGGGACGGAGAAGGCUAUGUUAGCCGGGCGACGGUUGUCCCGGUUUAAGCAUGUAGGCUGAUUGUCCAGGCAAAUCCGGAUAAUCAAGGCUGAGGUGUGAUGACGAGGCACUACGGUGCUGAAGUAACAAAUGCCCUGCUUCCAGGAAAAGCCUCUAAGCAUCAGGUAACAUCAAAUCGUACCCCAAACCGACACAGGUGGUCAGGUAGAGAAUACCAAGGCGCUUGAGAGAACUCGGGUGAAGGAACUAGGCAAAAUGGUGCCGUAACUUCGGGAGAAGGCACGCUGGUGUGUAGGUGAAGCCCCUGCGGGUGGAGCUGAGACCAGUCGAAGAUACCAGCUGGCUGCAACUGUUUAUUAAAAACACAGCACUGUGCAAACACGAAAGUGGACGUAUACGGUGUGACGCCUGCCCGGUGCCGGAAGGUUAAUUGAUGGGGUUAUCCGUAAGGAGAAGCUCUUGAUCGAAGCCCCGGUAAACGGCGGCCGUAACUAUAACGGUCCUAAGGUAGCGAAAUUCCUUGUCGGGUAAGUUCCGACCUGCACGAAUGGCGUAAUGAUGGCCAGGCUGUCUCCACCCGAGACUCAGUGAAAUUGAACUCGCUGUGAAGAUGCAGUGUACCCGCGGCAAGACGGAAAGACCCCGUGAACCUUUACUAUAGCUUGACACUGAACAUUGAGCCUUGAUGUGUAGGAUAGGUGGGAGGCUUUGAAGCGUGGACGCCAGUCUGCGUGGAGCCAACCUUGAAAUACCACCCUUUAAUGUUUGAUGUUCUAACGUUGGCCCCUGACCGGGGUUGCGGACAGUGUCUGGUGGGUAGUUUGACUGGGGCGGUCUCCUCCCAAAGCGUAACGGAGGAGCACGAAGGUUAGCUAAUCCUGGUCGGACAUCAGGAGGUUAGUGCAAUGGCAUAAGCUAGCUUGACUGCGAGCGUGACGGCGCGAGCAGGUGCGAAAGCAGGUCAUAGUGAUCCGGUGGUUCUGAAUGGAAGGGCCAUCGCUCAACGGAUAAAAGGUACUCCGGGGAUAACAGGCUGAUACCGCCCAAGAGUUCAUAUCGACGGCGGUGUUUGGCACCUCGAUGUCGGCUCAUCACAUCCUGGGGCUGAAGUAGGUCCCAAGGGUAUGGCUGUUCGCCAUUUAAAGUGGUACGCGAGCUGGGUUUAGAACGUCGUGAGACAGUUCGGUCCCUAUCUGCCGUGGGCGCUGGAGAAUUGAGGGGGCUGCUCCUAGUACGAGAGGACCGGAGUGGACGCAUCACUGGUGUUCGGGUUGUCAUGCCAAUGGCACUGCCCGGUAGCUAAAUGCGGAAGAGAUAAGUGCUGAAAGCAUCUAAGCACGAAACUUGCCCCGAGAUGAGUUCUCCCUGAGACUUUAAGUCUCCUGAAGGAACGUUAAAGACGAUGACGUUGAUAGGCCGGGUGUGUAAGCGCAGCGAUGCGUUGAGCUAACCGGUACUAAUGAACCGUGAGGCUUAACCUUACAACGCCGAAG
rnacentral:rRNA from 1 species